ACAUAUAACGUGAUUAAAAAAAACUAGCUUUGCAUCUAGAUUAAGUAAAAAUAUAAAAAUGAUUUCAAGUUUAUCGCCCGAGACCCGUGAACUGGUGUAAAUCGUAGACAAAAUGAAGCCUUGUCAUAGCAAUCGAGGGAUGAAAUCUAAAACAUCAAAUUAAGUGGCGAAUUGGUCCCGGUUGAAGUCACCGAAUAAAAAUUGCUGUGGACAGUAUAUCUAUCACAAGGUUCCAGGAAGUGUGAAUGUAGGCAACUCAGUUCUACAUAUGAUGCAGCCAGUAGCUACAAUUUGCUGAGUGUUCUAAUCGUGAAAAAUAUUAACCAUCUUAAUAACAUGUAACAGAAAUACAAACCAAAACAAAAUCAGCGUCAACACUUUCAAGGUCACUUGGUUUCCAGCCAAAGGCUGAACUUCCAAUGAAGUCCAAGCAUACUAUCUUUUUUUUUUUGUCAUGGUGUUUGUGCAGAAAAGAGCCAACAAUUACCUUCAAUACAGCUAGAGGGAAGAUUCUACCGAGAUUAAGUGGAAGUCAUGCAGGGAACGAGCUAAACUUUUUAAAGAUUUCACCACUGACAAGAUUUUACCACGUGUUCAUUCGAUUUUCUCGGUCGUACGGUUUCUAAAUCCCGACAGCAUUCUGUUGUAUCUUUUUUUUCAACUAUACUUCUGUUCUUAAUAAAAAUUUAGAAGGCAGUUAAGAAAUGGGUUCAUUUCAAA